rnacentral:rRNA from 1 species
AUGCGGGACCCUACGGGUGCCGCGUUCGGAAUGAGUACGAUUCGAACCACCUAACGAGGAACGAUCGGAGGGCAAGUCUGGUGCCAGCAGCCGCGGUAAUUCCAGCUCCAAUAGCGUACGUUAAAGUUGCUGCAGUUAAAAAGCUCGUAGUUGAACGUUCGGGUUCCGCGGGACGGGGCCGCCCCGCGAGGGACGGCGCCGCCCCGGGGCUCGUGAUAUCUCAUCUCGCCGCCCGUCGCGAGGCGGACGGAGGGAUGGAUGAGGUUACCUGGAAAAAAUCGGGGCGAUCUAGGCGGGCGAACCUCGCCAACGAACGAUCGGACAUGGGAUAACGGAAGAGGGCGUCGGCUCGACUUCGUCGGUUCCUCGGGCCGAGGCACGUACGGUGAAUAGGGACGGUCGGGGCCGCCCGUACCGGGUCGUGAGAGGUGAAAUUCUAGGAUCGACCCGAGACG